ACGGCAUCUCUGCUGUGAAAGGGGAGACACUUGAAAUCUGAAACCGCUGCUAAUUAGUCAAAGAAAACUACUGCAGCGCUCGCUUGAAAGAACCCCUCAAGGCACAAUGACAGAUUUCCUGCCAACUGUUCCCGGUUACUAAUCAGAUGCCAUCCGCUGAAGUCACACCACGCAGCACAGGGGUUGUUUAUCCAAACGAACAGAGGUGAAAAUGAUGCAGUAAAUAAUCUUUCAGAACCCUGUUUAUGGGAGUAAGAAACACUCUGGACAAGUGAACAGUGAAGCAGGUUUUCUGGUGUGUGCCUUUGCUUGGGUAAGUGUCUAAUUUCAUUUUAGGUAACGUUAAUGUGAUUAUUUCUUAUUUCUAGAUAAAUACAAACAUUGGGUGGACUAUUACCUAAAACAUCCCUCAGGACUUUCUAUGAAGCUAAAUGGUAAAUCCUUUUAUUUUUCAAGUAAAUAAACACUCAACAAUUUGAACAUAUCCAAGCUACCUUAAAAUAGCCCAUCACGUUUUCCAUGACAAGCGGAGGCAGAUGUUUGGUUGAGAUUUCCUCUUUUGGGAUUCAUAAAGGAAGAUGGAAACAUGCUGCAAAAUAAUUGCUGUGAACAUUUGGAGGACAUUCAGUAUUCCUCUCCAUUUUUUUUCUGAAUGAGAAAAUUAAAAGUGAUGGAGAUAAACUUGAUUAUGAGCCAGUUCAAAUGUACACAGACUCACAGAGAGACCAGGAGCUAGACUUGUAUCUCUAAGGAGAACACCACAAAAGAGCUUAAUA